ncrna:unclassified sequences ROOL RNA
CUUAUAACAACAAAAAAUUGGGAACUCAGUGAAGAAGAGCUUAAUCAACUCUGCUGAGAGCAAUUUGAACGUAGAGUAAAUGUUAUAUGGGAUACUGUAUAGUGUUUACUUCUUACUGCGAGUGAUCAAAGUAAGAAAGAAGAAGAUUCUUCAAAUACAAGAAUUGCGUGCCUAAAACUAUGAAUAAAAGGUCUGUUUAACAAAUCGGUGUGACAAUUGAGCAGGUAUACGAUUUUUAAUCGGAUACUGACACGACCUUUAAGUUUUGAUUAGGGAUAAUCAAAUUACUAAAGGUAAUAUCCAAAACAAGCACUUGCCAAUGAUCUGACGAAAGUCAAGUAUAAGACAAAUCAAAACAGGACAAGUACCAUAAGGCGAAAGUUUGAUAAUUUGUUUAAAAAAGUAUCACAUUUAUAAAUUGACAAAUAACAAUCUAUAAAUUUUACUUCUGAAAGAUAUGGGAAAGUUGGGAGUAGCAAAAUCUCCUCUAGGCAUACGGCGUAGAGCAGGGCAUAUAGGUUAGAACGACGGUUCGACACCUCAGGUAUGUUUUCCUAGUGACUGAAUGUAUUGCAGUAGUUUUAUAAGGUAGGGCGAAGGUCCCCCAAUUAACUUAUAAAA